CCUACGGGAGGCAGCAGUGAGGAAUAUUGGUCAAUGGUCGGGAGACUGAACCAGCCAAGCCGCGUGAGGGAUGAAGGUACAGAGUAUCGUAAACCUCUUUUGUCAGGGAACAAAGGCGGGGACGUGUCCCCGGAUGAGUGUACCUGAAGAAAAAGCAUCGGCAAACCCCGUGCCAGCAGCCGCGGUAAUACGGAGGAUGCGAGCGUUAUCCGGAUUUAUUGGGUUAAAAGGGUGCGAAGGCGGUCUGUUAAGUCAGCGGUAAAAGCCCGGGGCUCAACCCCGGCCCGCCGUUGAAACUGGCAGACUCGAGUUGGAGAGAGGUAAGCGGAAUGCGCGGUGUAGCGGUGAAAUGCAUAGAUAUCGCGCAGAACGCCGAUUGCGAAGGCAGCAUGCCGGCUCCACACUGACGCUGAGGCACGAAGGCGUGGGUAUCGAACAGGAUUAGAUACCCCUGUAGUC
rnacentral:rRNA from 1 species